AUUGAACGCUGGCGGCAGGCUUAACACAUGCAAGUCGAGCGAGCGGCGGACGGGUGAGUAAUGUCUGGGAAACUGCCUGAUGGAGGGGGAUAACUACUGGAAACGGUAGCUAAUACCGCAUACCAUCAGAUGUGCCCAGAUGGGAUUAGCUAGGAGGUGGGGUAAUGGCGCACCUAGGCGCCGAUCCCUAGCGGGUCUGAGAGGAGGACCAGAAACACGGGAACUGAGACACGGUCCAGACGCCUACGGGAGGCAGCAGUGGGGAAGAUUGCACAAUGGGCGCAAGCGUGAUGCAGCCAUGCCGCGUGUGUGAAGAAGGCCUUCGGGGUGUAAAGCACUUUCAGCGAGGAGGCGUUACUCGCAGAAGAAGCACCGGCUAACUCCGUGCCAGCAGCCGCGGUAAUAC
rnacentral:rRNA from 1 species